GUGGGGAAUAUUGGGCAAUGGGCGAAAGCCUGACCCAGCAACGCCGCGUGAAGGAAGAAGGUUUUCGGAUCGUAAACUUCUAUCCUAGGUGAAGAUAAUGACGGUAGCCUAGAAGGAAGCCCCGGCUAACUACGUGCCAGCAGCCGCGGUAAUACGUAGGGGGCAAGCGUUGUCCGGAAUGAUUGGGCGUAAAGGGCGCGUAGGCGGCCUUCUAAGUCCGAUGUGAAAGUCCUGCUUUUAAGGUGGGAAUUGCAUUGGAAACUGGAGGGCUUGAGUGCAGGAGAGGUAAGUGGAAUUCCCGGUGUAGCGGUGAAAUGCGUAGAGAUCGGGAGGAACACCAGUGGCGAAGGCGACUUACUGGACUGUAACUGACGCUGAGGCGCGAAAGUGUGGGGAGCAAACAGGAUUAGAAACCCCAGUAGUCC
rnacentral:rRNA from 1 species